AACAAAAACAUGUCCUUUAGAAUUGAAUUUAAGGUCUAACCUGCCCAUUGAGGAAUUAAAAGGCCGCAGUAUUUUGACUGUGCAAAGGUAGCAUAAUCAUUAGUUUUUUAAUUGAAAGCUUGUAUGAAUGGUUGGACGAGAUAUAAUCUGUCUUUAGGUUAUAAAUAGAAUUUAAUUUUUAAGUUAAAAAGCUUAAAUAAAUUUAAAAGACGAUAAGACCCUAUAGAUCUUUAUAUAUAGAUUUAUAUAAUUUUUAUGGAUUAAAAAUUUUUAUAUUAGUUUGUAUAUUUUAUUGGGGUAAUAAAAAGAUUAAUAAAAUUCUUUUUUCUAUUAACGUAGAUUUUCGAUUUUAAUGAUCCAAUUUUAUUGAUUAUAAGAUUAAGUUACCUUAGGGAUAACAGCGUAAUUUUUUUAAAGAGUUCUUAUCGAUAAAAAAGUUUGCGACCUCGAUGUU
rnacentral:rRNA from 1 species